AACGAACGCUGGCGGCGUGGAUAAGACAUGCAAGUCGAACGGGACAGACCGAGUAGCAAUAUUUGGAAUGUUCAGUGGCGAGCCGGUGCGGAACACGUACACAACCUUCCUUUAAGUGGGGGAUAGCCCAGAGAAAUUUGGAUUAAUACCCCGUAAUAUAGUUGAAUGGCAUCAUUUGAUUAUUAUAGCUACGGCGCUUAAUGAUGGGUGUGCGGCUGAUUAGAUAGUUGGCGGGGUAACGGCCCACCAAGUCUACGAACAGUAGCUGAUGUGAGAGCAUGAUCAGCCACACGGGCACUGAGACACGGGCCCGACUCCUACGGGAGGCAGCAGUAAGGAAUAUUGGUCAAUGGACGCAAGUCUGAACCAGCCAUGCCGCGUGAAGGGUUAAGGUCCUCUGGAUUGUAAACUUCUUUUAUUUGGGACGAGAAAGGGCCUUUCUAGGUCAACUGACGGUACCAGAUGAAUAAGCACCGGCUAACUCCGUGCCAGCCGCCGCCGUAAAAC
rnacentral:rRNA from 1 species